GGCGCGAUGGCGGAGUGGUGACGCAGAGGACUGCAAAUCCUUGCACCCGGGUUCGAUUCCCGGUCGCGCCUCCA
rnacentral:tRNA from 62 species